AACUUCUGAAUGUUGACCUCGGAUCAGGUAGGAAUACCCGCUGAACUUAAGCAUAUCAAUAAGCGGAGGAAAAGAAACCAACAGGGAUUGCCCUAGUAACGGCGAGUGAAGCGGCAACAGCUCAAAUUUGAAAUCUGGCUCUCGGGCCCGAGUUGUAAUUUGUAGAGGAUGCUUUUGAUGCGGUGCCUUCCGAGUUCCCUGGAACGGGACGCCAUAGAGGGUGAGAGCCCCGUCUGGUUGGAUGCCAAAUCUCUGUAAAGCUCCUUCGACGAGUCGAGUAGUUUGGGAAUGCUGCUCUAAAUGGGAGGUAUAUGUCUUCUAAAGCUAAAUACCGGCCAGAGACCGAUAGCGCACAAGUAGAGUGAUCGAAAGAUGAAAAGCACUUUGAAAAGAGAGUUAAAAAGUACGUGAAAUUGUUGAAAGGGAAGCGUUUAUGACCAGACUUGGGCUUGGUUAAUCAUCUGGGGUUCUCCCCAGUGCACUUUUCCAGUCCAGGCCAGCAUCAGUUUUCGCCGGGGGAUAAAGGCUUCGGGAAUGUGGCUCUCUUCGGGGAGUGUUAUAGCCCGUUGCGUAAUACCCUGGCGGGGACUGAGGUUCGCGCAUCUGCAAGGAUGCUGGCGUAAUGGUCAUCAACGACCCGUCU
rnacentral:rRNA from 1 species